rnacentral:rRNA from 1 species
CUACGGAGGGUGCAAGCGUUAAUCGGAAUUACUGGGCGUAAAGCGCACGUAGGCGGCUUGUUAAGUCAGAUGUGAAAGCCCCGGGCUCAACCUGGGAACUGCAUUUGAUACUGGCAGGCUAGAGUAUGGUAGAGGCAAGUGGAAUUCCGGGUGUAGCGGUGAAAUGCGUAGAUAUCCGGAGGAACACCAGUGGCGAAGGCGACUUGCUGGACCAAUACUGACGCUGAGGCGCGAAAGCGUGGGGAGCAAACAGGAUUAGAAACCCUAGUAGUCC